CUUUUGGGGUCUGAUCCAGUUCUCACUGAAGUCAGUGGGAGUCUUUCCAUUGACUUUAAUGGGAGUUGGAUCAGGCCCUUAAAAG
rnacentral:pre_miRNA from 1 species